rnacentral:lncRNA from 10 species
GAUGGGAUUUACAUCUGAAAAACCAAGUGAGAAACUGAAGACCAGAGAGGGUGAGUGGUUUACUCAGUUUGGCACAACUGACCCCAACCUAGCCCUCCAUGAGGACUGAGCGCAUGAGAGAUCCUGAGCCACAGCCGCCCAGCCCUGCUCCUCUCGAAUUUCUGACCUACAGGAACUGCAAGAAGUAAUGAAAGACUGCUGUUUAAAGCCACUGCAUUUUGGCAUGAUUUGUUAUGCAGUCGUAGAUAACCAGAAAACAUCGGAUUUACAUUUUAAGGUAAACUUUUUAUUGAAACAUCACAUACACACAGAGACGUCCACCAAUUGGCUCGAUGAGCUUUCUCAAAGGAAACACAUUCUCUGAGCAGUGUGCACAUCCAGACACAUCAUCUCCAUCCUCCAGAAGCCCCCUCCUGUUAUCGCCACUCACAGGUCACCCGUCUCCUGACUUGCAGCCACAGAGAUAGUCCUGCCUAAUUCUGAACGUGGUACAAACGGAAUCAUACAGAAUGGGCUUGGCUUCUUUCACUCUGGGCUGUGUUUAUGAGCAUCACCCAGAUUGCUGCAUGGAAGCCAUCGUUUGUUCAUUUUCACCACCAUAGAGUAUUCUACUGUUGAUGGGACAUAGGCUAUUUAUUCCUUCUACUGUUGAGGGACGCAUAGUUAUUUCCAGCUGGAGACUGGUAUAUGUCUCUUGGCUACCUUCUGCAUGCAUUUCUGUUGGAGGUUGUUUCAGGUAUCUCUUAACGUAUAACAGACCACCCUCAAAUUGAGUCCUUGAAACAAUUACCAUUUUCUUCUUUCUCAGGAUUUGGUGCAUGGGAUGGGCUCAGUUGGGCAGUUCUUCUGUUCCAUGUGAUGGUACUGGGGCUGCAGUCAUUCAGAGGCUCAACUGGGCUGAACGUGCAAGGUUUCUUGCUCACGUGGCCAUCAGUGGUGCUGGCUGCUGUUGGGAGCUCCACUGGACUUCUGUCCAGAGCUCCUCAGCUCACCUCUCUGUAUCCUUGCCCUGUGGCUCAGGCUUCUAACAAUACAGAGGCUGGAUUCCAAGAGGAGGGAAUUAGAAGCGUUCAGCCUUCUUAAGACCAGGAUUCAGAUGUCCCAGACUGUCACUGUAUUGACCGGAGCAUUUACAGGCCAGCCUAGUAAUUUUUCCAUCUUGGGCAGGAAUGGGUGGCAUAUGCUGGGGGUAGGGGUAGCAUUGUUGGGGAUCAUCUUUGGAGCUGUGUGCCAAGGAGUAAAUUGCUGGGCUGCUUUCUACCUGAGGAAGUCCACUAUGCUUGCUUGUGGAGAGUGGAUUGUGUGCUCAGAGUCCACAAGGAUUUAAGAAUCCGAGCCCUGCUGCCCUUGCCUCAGCCUGUGCAUUAGGGCCCGGUGGUGAGAGCACUGAGCCAUUGUGAAUCAAGGCCCCUCCCUCGACCUGCAUACUAACAGGCCAGAAGAGCUUGCUUGAUUUUGGUCCUAGGCUCCUGCCUGUGGGUUGGAUUCCAGGGGCACUCUCUCCUCCACAAACCAGACGGUGGCAGGUACAUCCCCUCAAUGGAAAUUGCCCACACUUCACCCUAAAGACAGAUCCUGCUGUUCAGCAACAAUGUGAGUGGCCCACACAUUUGUCCAGCAUGAAACCGUUUGCAGAUUCCUUUCCAGUACACAGUCCCGUCAGCCGGUCACUUCACGAUGACAGCUCCUCGAAGCACCUUUUGGUUUGCAGUUGUGUAGCUUAGAAGUAGGAGCCUGCACGGCUUCAGGAAUUCACAGAAGGAGCACACUUUGUGCUUGGAGAAGUUAAUUAUAGGAAUAUCCUGCAACCUGCUGCUCUGAGCCUGUGCACCUGGGGUGUUUCCCUGGAGGUCCUGUGUAUGAGGAUACUCAUCAGCAUGGGGUUUGGGAAGCCUAGCAGUGGAGACAACCUAGGUGGUCCUCUCCAGGGGAGUAGGUAAGAGCCCUACAGCAGUGAAAAGCAUUGAAGGAAAAGUGUGUUCAGCAGUGCUCUUAAUCUGAUCAGAGCAGCCUGAACACAUUCUAAACACAGGGCAUUUAGAACUAGGGUAGAGGCACUAGAGCACCAUAGAUACAAACUCAGAUUCUGAAGGUAAAUGCCCAGGUUCAAAUCCAAGCCCCCUCGCCAAGUGACCAUGACUCCCCCGAGUCACCUGACCUCUGUGUUUACAUCCUCAAAGUUAAGUAGUCAGGAAAGGGGGCUUGGGGCUUGCCACAUGGAUGGUUGCCACUCUCCUUUGCAAAGUGUAGUCCCCAAAAACAGGUGGAAGAGGGAAGGGUCCAAUUAGAAGGCCGAGUACCAGCUGCCAUGAAUAUGCCAGAGCUGCUGGCUAGUGAUAAAUAACUGAAACCCAGGGGGACAGCAGAGCUUGGGUGACCAUACAUUCUAGGAAAGAAAACAUGCCUGUUGUCCUGGCUUUUUAUCCAGCUUAGACAAAGAUGGGCAAAGAAAAUAAUUUAGAAAAUGGUAGAGAUGGGCACAGAGAAAGGGCACGGAGGGAGGCACAAACAGAAGGCCAAGUGAUGGUGGAGGCAGACAUUGGAGAAAUGCCUUUACAAGCCGGGGAAUGCCAAGGAUGCUGGCAACCCUGGGAGUGGGAAGAACCUGGAACACACCCUCCGUCAGAGUCUCCAGAAGGAACUGGCCCUUCAUCACCUUUCGGACUUCUGGCCUCCAGAACUGGGCAAGAAAAUGUUUCUGCUGUUGGAGGCCAUCCAGCUGGUGGUCAUUUGUUAUGGUUGCCACAGAAAACGAAUAUAGAUUUAGACAUCUAAUUUGCAUAUAUAGAUAUGCAUGUGUAUUUGUUAAAUAAAAGAUAAAGCAUGACAACUCGA